rnacentral:rRNA from 1 species
UACGUAGGGUGCAAGCGUUAUCCGGAAUUAUUGGGCGUAAAGAGCUCGUAGGCGGUUUGUCGCGUCUGCCUGUGAAAUCUGGGGGCUCAACCCCCAGCCUGCAGUGGGUACGGGCAGACUAGAGUGCGGUAGGGGAGAUUGGAAUUCCUGGUGUAGCGGUGAAAUGCGCAGAUAUCAGGAGGAACACCGGUGGCGAAGGCGGCAUCCUGGACCAAUAUUGACGCUGAGGAGCGAAAGCUAGGGGAGCAAACGGG